ensembl:processed_transcript Ptprv protein tyrosine phosphatase, receptor type, V
AGUUCACAGUGUUAGCCUGCUGGCUGUGAGCACACCUCUUGACCCUCACAGUGAGGACCCGGUGGGGUUCUAGAAGUUGGAAGAUGAGCUCUUGGGUGUUCGGACUUUCCCAUACCCCUUGUCACUGGUGCAGAGGACCAAUGGCACAGCUCAGCAUGGAACUAUGCUUACCUUUCCUAGAGUGCCAGGAAGUAGCCCCGCUGUACCCGCUGCUGGGCUCAGUGCCCUGGCACAAUGACUUCAAGCUGAAGGGGAUUCCCUCCCUUUCACCCAAGUCCAGGGCCAGAGGGAUGGACACCUGCCCCACAAUGGCCCUUCCCCCCCCCAGGGGCCCUUUAUGUCCUUCCCACUGCUGUCAUUGAUGCUGGCUUAUACA